UACGUAGGUGGCAAGCGUUGUCCGGAUUUACUGGGCGUAAAGAGCGCGCAGGCGGUCGUUCAAGUCGCGUGUGAAAGCCCCCGGCUCAACUGGGGAGGGUCACGCGAUACUGAUCGACUCGAAGGCAGGAGAGGGUAGUGGAAUUCCCGGUGUAGUGGUGUAAAUGCGUAGAUAUCGGGAGGAACACCAGUGGCGAAGGCGACUACCUGGCCUGUUCUUGACGCU
rnacentral:rRNA from 1 species